GCUAACAGAUUUGGUUCUCUUUUGGGUUUGUGAUUUUGUAAGCUCACUGGGCUUGUUUAGGUAGAAGCACUUUGUACUGCUUUCAUUUUUUGAUCUGCAUAUUUUUAAAGAUCUUUUAACCAUUAAGGCUUAUUUGUGAAGUGAAUAUUCAAAAGCAUGCCAUAAAAAUGUCAUGAUCCCAGUAAUACUGAGGUAGAUCUUAAAGGGAAUGUAGUCAAAGCGCCCAAUCUAAGAAUUUAACAUUGAAAUAACGAUAUAUGAUUAUGCGUAUAAAUGGCUUCCAGAAAUAUCUCUUUUUUUGGACUAUCUUAGCAUUUUAUUGUCUAGUUAAGAAAGUUUGGAAUUUUCCAGUCUUGCUGACUAGGAUUUGUAAAGGCGCAGUUUAUUUUCAAGUGUGCUGUAACAUCACUAGGCAGCAACUUUAUUCACAAUUAGUUUCUGUUUUAAACUUUUUAUUUUUGUGUUAAUGGCACUUUCCAUUGGAGUGAGGCCAUCUUCAACUUUGUAUUAGGUUGCAAGUAUGAGUAAUGGACUGGGUUACAACAAUUUGUGAAAAUUGGGCCUGGGACAGCAUGACAUAUCAUUACAAGUAUAUUGUAAUUGCAAAUAAUUUUACAUAACUUCAAGCUUUCAACCAAACCCCAUAAGAUGUAUCAUCAUAUACGACAACAAUAGGAAGACACAGGAUUUGAAGGGAAUGAUAUGAACUUAAUAUUUGUUUAAUUUAGUAGUAAAGCAAACAAUUCAAAAAGUUUAUCAAACGAGGAUGCAAAAAUGGAACAUAACUGUGCCAUAAACAGUUGUUAAAGAAUGGGUUUUGUGCAAGCUGGUCAACCCACUAUCUCCUACCAGAACAUCUAGACCGGGUUCGUCAAACAAGAAAGUCGGGGAAUGGGUAUCGAAAUUUGAUAAGUAUUGGUUGGUAAUCCGACCCAAAUUGUGGUUAUUUAGUUGGAAAUAAUUAGACCAAGUUAGUUGGAGGGCUUGUCUGUCUUGUAUAUAAAUAAGAAGGCACUAGAGGGAAGCUAUCUUUCCAUUUACAGAGACUUGGGGCAUUCGAGUUUGCAGACCUUUGAAGUUGUGCAGUACUGUAUUUAUUGGAGACUUUCCCUAAAUCUUGUAGUAAAGUACCAGUUUCUAUCAUUAUGCUUAAUAUUUUGGUUU